CUCUCCAUCUCCUCUUCUUUCCCUCUUUUCUUUCCCAUCGCCAUGUGAUUCCGUCCAUGUGCCCACUCACCUCCUAUCCAUCUCUUUUUUUCUUCCCCGCUCGCCUUCCUGGCACCAUCACCCCCACUUAUGAUGCAUCACAAACCACAAUGCUUUCCUCCCUCACCAUAUCUUGCCAUUUUAGAAGAUUAUAAAAUAGAAAGCAAGAGUACUCUAUGGGACCAUGGUGGAGUACUCUUCCUUAUUUAUGAAUGUUUGCAAUAGGACUUGAAUGAAAUUUAUUACAAUUAAGGUAGCUUUAGUGCAAAUGUU
rnacentral:lncRNA from 1 species